rnacentral:rRNA from 1 species
GAUGAACGCUGGCGGCGUGCCUAAUACAUGCAAGUCGAGCGAACAGACGAGGAGCUUGCUCCUCUGACGUUAGCGGCGGACGGGUGAGUAACACGUGGAUAACCUACCUAUAAGACUGGGAUAACUUCGGGAAACCGGAGCUAAUACGGGAUAAUAUAUUAAACCGCAUGGUUCAGUAGGGAAGGACGUUGUUGCUGUCACUGAUAGAUGGAUCCGCGCCGCAUUAGGUAGUUGUUAAGGUAACGGCUUACCAAGGCAACGAGGCGUAGCCGAGCUGAGAGGGUGAUAGGCCACCCUGGAACUGAGACACGGUCAAGACUCCUACGGGAGGCAGCAGUCGGGAAUCUUCCGCAAUGGGCGAAAGCCUGACGGAGCAACGCCGAGUGAGUGAUGACGGUCUUCGGAUCGUAAAACUCUGUUAUUAGGGAAGAACAAAUGUGUAAGUAACUAUGCACGUCUUGACGGUACCUAAUCAGAAAGCCACGGCUAACUACGUG